CAACCACUCAAGCCUGGCUUGGUGUUGGGGUUCGCCUUCUGGUGGCCCCUAAAAUCAGUGGCGGUGCCGUCUGGCUCUAAGCGUAGUAAUUCUUCUCGCUAUAGGGUCCUGGCGGUGCUCGCCAUCAACCCCAAAUUUUUUA
rnacentral:misc_RNA from 1 species